UUUUAUGGAGAGUUUGAUCCUGGCUCAGGAUGAACGCUGGCGGCGUGCCUAAUACAUGCAAGUCGAGCGAACGGACGAGAAGCUUGCUUCUCUGAUGUUAGCGGCGGACGGGUGAGUAACACGUGGAUAACCUACCUAUAAGACUGGGAUAACUUCGGGAAACCGGAGCUAAUACCGGAUAAUAUUUUGAACCGCAUGGUUCAAAAGUAAAAGACGGUCUUGCUGUCACUUAUAGAUGGAUCCGCGCUGCAUUAGCUAGUUGGUAAGGUAACGGCUUACCAAGGCAACGAUGCAUAGCCGACCUGAGAGGGUGAUCGGCCACACUGGAACUGAGACACGGUCCAGACUCCUACGGGAGGCAGCAGUAGGGAAUCUUCCGCAAUGGGCGAAAGCCUGACGGAGCAACGCCGCGUGAGUGAUGAAGGUCUUCGGAUCGUAAAACUCUGUUAUUAGGGAAGAAC
rnacentral:rRNA from 1 species